rnacentral:rRNA from 1 species
CCUACGUGAGGCAGCAGUGGGGAAUAUUGCACAAUGGGGGAAACCCUGAUGCAGCGACGCCGCGUGAGUGAAGAAGUAAUUCGUUAUGUAAAGCUCUAUCAGCAGGGAAGAAAAUGACGGUACCUGAGUAAGAAGCCCCGGCUAACUACGUGCCAGCAGCCGCGGUAAUACGUAGGGGGCAAGCGUUAUCCGGAUUUACUGGGUGUAAAGGGAGCGUAGACGGCAGUGCAAGUCUGGAGUGAAAGGCGGGGGCUCAACCCCCGGACUGCUCUGGAAACUGUACGGCUGGAGUGCAGGAGAGGUAAGUGGAAUUCCUAGUGUAGCGGUGAAAUGCGUAGAUAUUAGGAGGAACACCAGUGGUGAAGGCGGCUUACUGGACUGUAACUGACGUUGAGGCUCGAAAGCGUGGGGAGCAAACAGGAUUAGAUACCCCAGUAGUC